rnacentral:lncRNA from 1 species
ACCUCCCCCCUCUUCUUCUUCUAUCUAUAUACUAUCUUCUCUCUCUCUCUCUCCCCCUCACUCCAUCCAACGAACCCGCAAUUCUUCUCUUUCUCUUCAACGACAUUCAAUUUCUCUAUCUGGGUUUUGGGUUGCUUCUAUUUCUUCAUUUAGAUACGGCUAAUCGAAAGAAUUGGGGGGUAAUUUUAAUGGAAACCAAUAGUUUAGGCGGCGGCGGCGGCGGCGGUGUGGGUGGGAGUGGUGGAGGAGGAGGAGGAGGAGCUGGAGGAGGAGGGAUGUUUUCAGGCAUGAAUUCGUCAAUGCUGGGAUUGGAAUUACCACUUCAUCAAAACCCAACAAAUCCCACUAAUCCUCACCAAUUACAUCACCCUCCAAUGGUAUCUUAUGUCCAACAUGACCCCCAUCAUCACCAACAACCGCCGUCGGUCUCCGUGAAAUACCCUUUUCCGACAAAGGCUAAGCCACAGCAGUCGAAUCUCAGUGACGACGAGGAGCAGGGGUUCGCGGCGGAUGACAGUAAUGGAGAUGGCAAGAAGAAAAUCUCGCCGUGGCAGAGGAUGAAAUGGACGGAUAUGAUGGUUCGGCUGUUGAUUACGGCGGUGUUCUAUAUCGGCGAUGAAGGUGGGUCGGAGCCGGUGGACCAUGUCGGGAAGAAAAAACCAGUGGGGUUACUGCAAAAGAAGGGGAAAUGGAAAUCGGUAUCCAGAGCAAUGAUGGAAAAAGGAUUCUACGUUUCACCACAGCAAUGUGAAGACAAAUUCAACGAUUUAAACAAAAGAUACAAACGAGUUAACGAUAUUUUAGGGAAGGGAACAGCCUGCAAAGUAGUAGAGAAUCAAACAUUACUCGAUUCAAUGGAAUUAACACCAAAAACAAAAGAAGAAGUACGAAAAUUACUCAAUUCUAAACAUCUUUUCUUCAGAGAAAUGUGCGCUUACCACAACACUUGCCGUCACAGCACCACCCACCCCUCGCCGGACGCAGCAACAGAACCAUCCCACCUUCCACAACAACAACAGCAACAGCAACUAUGCUUCCACGCCACAGACACGACAACCUCCGCCAGUAUAGCAGCCGGCGAGGGUUCAAAAAGCGGAGAUGAGGAGGAAGAGGAGGAGGAAGAGGAGGAAUCGGAAGAGGAGGAAGAGGAUGAGGAAACAGAAGGGAGACAGGAAGAAGAGGAG